rnacentral:ribozyme from 1 species
AGCCCAGCAACUCCUAUCCGUACAUCCUCGUGGUACUGGCCGGGGUACGAGUAACCUCAGGGAAGAUCGGGUAAACAACCUCUGUGGGAACUUUGGUCGUAUACUGACAGAGAAGG